rnacentral:tRNA from 1 species
GGGGCUAUAGCUCAGCUGGGAGCGCGCUUGCAUGGCAUGCAAGAGGUCAGCGGUUCGAUCCCGCUUAGCUCCAACA